rnacentral:rRNA from 2 species
ACCGUUCGCUGCGCGAGCUGACGGAGCACGCCGCGUGAGUGAUGAAGGUCUUCGGAUCGUAAAACUCUGUUGUUAGGGAAGAACAAAUUUGUUAGUAACUGAACAAGUCUUGACGGUACCUAACCAGAAAGCCACGGCUAACUACGUGCCAGCAGCCGCGGUAAUACGUAGGUGGCAAGCGUUAUCCGGAAUUAUUGGGCGUAAAGCGCGCGUAGGCGGUUUCUUAAGUCUGAUGUGAAAGCCCACGGCUCAACCGUGGAGGGUCAUUGGAAACUGGGAAACUUGAGUGCAGAAGAGGAGAGUGGAAUUCCAUGUGUAGCGGUGAAAUGCGCAGAGAUAUGGAGGAACACCAGUGGCGAAGGCGGCUCUCUGGUCUGUAACUGACGCUGAUGUGCGAAAGCGUGGGGAUCAAACAGGAUUAGAUACCAGGGUAGUCACCUGCUGCUCCCCGUAAGA